UUAUUAUAUUUGAAACAUAAUUAUGCAAACAACAAACAAUCUUACUUGGUGGUGGAAUAACUCUCGACAAAAAUCGUGAGCUAAGCACUAUUUGGUAUAUAUCAUACAAAAGGCUUGUC
rnacentral:ncRNA from 1 species